rnacentral:rRNA from 1 species
UGGGGAAUAUUGGACAAUGGGCGAAAGCCUGAUCCAGCCAUGCCGCGUGUGUGAAGAGGGUCUUCGGAUUGUAAAGCACUUUAAGUUGGGAGGAAGGGCAUUAACCUAAUACGUUAGUGUUUUGACGUUACCGACAGAAUAAGCACCGGCUAACUCUGUGCCAGCAGCCGCGGUAAUACAGAGGGUGCAAGCGUUAAUCGGAAUUACUGGGCGUAAAGCGCGCGUAGGUGGUUUGUUAAGUUGGAUGUGAAAUCCCCGGGCUCAACCUGGGAACUGCAUUCAAAACUGACUGACUAGAGUAUGGUAGAGGGUGGUGGAAUUUCCUGUGUAGCGGUGAAAUGCGUAGAUAUAGGAAGGAACACCAGUGGCGAAGGCGACCACCUGGACUAAUACUGACACUGAGGUGCGAAAGCGUGGGGAGCAAACA